CGCGUAUGCAAUCUACCUUUUACAGAGGGAUAGCCCAGAGAAAUUUGGAUUAAUACCUCAUAGUAUAAUGACUCGGCAUCGAGAUAUUAUUAAAGUCACAACGGUAAAAGAUGAGCAUGCGUCCCAUUAGCUAGUUGGUAAGGUAACGGCUUACCAAGGCUACGAUGGGUAGGGGUCCUGAGAGGGAGAUCCCCCACACUGGUACUGAGACACGGACCAGACUCCUACGGGAGGCAGCAGUGAGGAAUAUUGGACAAUGGGCGCAAGCCUGAUCCAGCCAUGCCGCGUGCAGGAUGACGGUCCUAUGGAUUGUAAACUGCUUUUAUACGAGAAGAAACACUGCUUCGUGAAGCAGCUUGACGGUAUCGUAAGAAUAAGGAUCGGCUAACUCCGUGCCAGCAGCCGCGGUAAUACGGAGGAUCCAAGCGUUAUCCGGAAUCAUUGGGUUUAAAGGGUCCGUAGGCGGUUUAAUAAGUCAGUGGUGAAAGCCCAUCGCUCAACGGUGGAACGGCCAUUGAUACUGUUAAACUUGAAUUAUUAGGAAGUAACUAGAAUAUGUAGUGUAGCGGUGAAAUGCUUAGAGAUUACAUGGAAUACCAAUUGCGAAGGCAGGUUACUACUAAUGGAUUGACGCUGAUGGACGAAAGCGUGGGUAGCGAACAGGAUUAGAUACCCUGGUAGUCCACGCCGUAAACGAUGGAUACUAGCUGUUGGAAGCAAUUUCAGUGGCUAAGCGAAAGUGAUAAG
rnacentral:rRNA from 1 species